AUUGAACGCUGGCGGCAUGCCUUACACAUGCAAGUCGAACGGCAGCGGGGGAGAAGCUUGCUUUUCCUGCCGGCGAGCGGCGAACGGGUGAGUAAUACAUCGGAGCGUGCCCUGUAGUGGGGGAUAACUAGUCGAAAGAUUAGCUAAUACCGCAUACGACCUGAGGGUGAAAGUGGGGGACCGCAAGGCCUCAUGCUAUAGGAGCGGCCGAUGUCUGAUUAGCUAGUUGGUGGGGUAAAGGCCUACCAAGGCGACGAUCAGUAGCUGGUCUGAGAGGACGAUCAGCCACACUGGGACUGAGACACGGCCCAGACUCCUACGGGAGGCAGCAGUGGGGAAUUUUGGACAAUGGGCGAAAGCCUGAUCCAGCAAUGCCGCGUGUGUGAAGAAGGCCUUCGGGUUGUAAAGCACUUUUGUCCGGAAAGAAAUGGCUCUGGUUAAUACCUGGGGUCGAUGACGGUACCGGAAGAAUAAGGACCGGCUAACUACGUGCCAGCAGCCGCCGUAA
rnacentral:rRNA from 1 species